GUGCUCACUUCGGCAGCACAUAUACUAAAAUUGGAAUGAUACAGAGAUUAGCGUGGACCCUCGCAAGAAAAAGGUAGUAUUUAUAAAGAGAUUAUAUCACUGCUA